AUUGCACGCUCGCGCCAGGCCUAACACACGUAAAUCGCACGAGUGGCGGACGGGUGAGUAAUGUCUGGGAAACCGCCUGAUGGAGAGGCAUAACAACUGGAUAAGGCUGCUAAUACCGCAUACCAUGGGAUGUGGCCAGAUGGGAUUAGCUAGUAGGUGGGGUAAAGGCCUACCUAGGCGACGAUCCCUAGCUGGUCUGAGAGGAUGACCAGCCACACUGGAACUGAGACACGGUCCAGACUCCUACGGGAGGCAGCAGUGGGGAAUAUUGCACAAUGGGCGCAAGCCUGAUGCAGCCAUGCCGCGUGUGUGAAGAAGGCCUUCGGGUUGUAAAGCACUUUCAGCGGGGAGGCGUUACCCGCAGAAGAAGCAACGGCUAACUACGUGCCAGCAGCCGCGGUAAUUC
rnacentral:rRNA from 1 species